rnacentral:rRNA from 1 species
GACGAACGCUGGCGGCGUGCUUAACACAUGCAAGUCGAACGGAAAGGCCCUACUUGCAGGGUACUCGAGUGGCGAACGGGUGAGUAACACGUGGGUGAUCUGCCCUGCACUUCGGGAUAAGCCUGGGAAACUGGGUCUAAUACCGGAUAGGAGCCAUUUUUAGUGUGAUGGUUGGAAAGUUUUUUCGGUGUAGGAUGAGCUCGCGGCCUAUCAGCUUGUUGGUGGGGUAAUGGCCUACCAAGGCGGCGACGGGUAGCCGGCCUGAGAGGGUGGACGGCCACAUUGGGACUGAGAUACGGCCCAGACUCCUACGGGAGGCAGCAGUGGGGAAUAUUGCACAAUGGGCGCAAGCCUGAUGCAGCGACGCCGCGUGGGGGAUGACGGCCUUCGGGUUGUAAACUCCUUUCGCUAGGGACGAAGCUUUUUGUGACGGUACCUAGAGAAGAAGCACCGGCUAACUACGUG